UGAACGCUAGCUACAGGCUUAACACAUGCAAGUCGAGGGGUAGCAGGGUAGCAAUACCGCUGACGACCGGCGCACGGGUGAGUAACACGUAUCCAACCUUCCCAUAACUCAGGGAUAGCCUUUCGAAAGAAAGAUUAAUACCUGAUAGUACUUUUUCAAGGCAUCUUGAGAAAGUUAAAGAUUUAUUGGUUAUGGAUGGGGAUGCGUUCCAUUAGAUAGUUGGUGAGGUAACGGCUCACCAAGUCUUCGAUGGAUAGGGGUUCUGAGAGGAAGGUCCCCCACAUUGGUACUGAGACACGGACCAAACUCCUACGGGAGGCAGCAGUGAGGAAUAUUGGUCAAUGGGCGAGAGCCUGAACCAGCCAAGUAGCGUGAAGGAUGAAGGUCCUAUGGAUUGUAAACUUCUUUUAUAGUAGAAUAAAGUGAUCCACGUGUGGAUUUUUGUAUGUAUACUAUGAAUAAGGAUCGGCUAACUCCGUGCCAGCAGCGGC
rnacentral:rRNA from 1 species